rnacentral:tmRNA from 1 species
GGGGGCGACACGGUUUCGACGGAAGCUGUCGCGACUCGAAGGCAUGCAGGGCGCCACCUGCCCUCAAUCGGGUGGAAAACUAGAACUGCCAAUCAACAAUUGGCAUUGGCUGCCUAGCUUAAACUAGGCCAGCUACGUUUCCCCGGGCUUCGCCUACGGGUCCGGCAAGAAACGUCACACAGUAGGCUGGCCGUCAAGUUUCGGUCCGGAACAAGACGGCGAGAACCAAUCGGACUAGCCGGCUGCGUUUCUUGCUCAUUCUGAGCGCGGCUGGCGAAACAAACGGAAUAGAGCUAAGCAUGUAGGCUUCGAGCCGUAGCGCUUUUCGGACGGGGGUUCAACUCCCCCCGCCUCCACCA